AUGAAUAAUUGGCCCGCUGUCUCAGGCAAAAAAUUUAAAAUUAGGUUUUCUACAUCACAAAAAGUAUUGGUAUGCUCUGAAAAGAGUUUGGUCAUAGGUCACCAAUGUCAUGCAAUAGCCGUAUUCAGAUGUAACGUACCCAGUUGUAUUCAACAGAGGACCACCUAUGACCAUUGCUUUCUUCACACUGAAGAAGGUAGUUUUCUUGUUCACUUGGAGGUGUUCCAUGCAAACAAGAAUAAGGAACAUUCCAGAAUUUCUCCUCAGUGGACAUGUUGGUUUUGGUGUAAGAAAAGUAACAAGUUAAGUAAUUCAGUCUUUCCAUGUGGCUUCAGCCCUCUGAUAAGGAGAUUUUUUCCCCACAAAGAUUUAAAGAGUUCUGAAUAGUAAUUAGCAAAUAUACUUUACUAUCAGUUUGUGCAGAAAUUAUAGGGGCAAAUGUCCCUGAGCUUUAGCUUUGCAGAACGGGAGGUGAAGUGUUCAUCUGUGACAGGAAAAAUACUGAAAAAUCUUAUGGCACCAUAUUAAAGAAACAUUAUGACAUAAUCCUUCCUACCCCACUGUGUCAUGAAAAAUCCUAUGGCACCAUAUAUAUUAAAGAAACAUUAUGACAUAAUCCUCCCUACCCCAAUCCACUGUGUCAGAUGCAAAUUAAGCAUUUAACAUUUGUUUGUGUAUAGAUUUUUGUAUCAUUGAAUAGUUUUAAGAAGUACUUUUUAAAAGAGAUCAGUUUGGGGUUUUUAAAAAAGUAUUUUUAAAAAUACUUUUAAAAGAAAUCAUUUUUUUAAGUGAAACUAAUUUAGCUGUAGAGGCUUGAAAUUCUGACAUGAGUGUACAGUAAAUAGUUGUGCUAAAGGAAGGACUGGUGUAGUCUUUUGGGAUAUAGUUUGCAUACUCAGUAAAGGGUGAGGGUAGUUACAGGAUGUGUGUGUAUCCCCGCCCCAACCUAUAUAUGUGUUGUCCAGCCCUAUAAAAUAUGGUUCUUGCUUGUUUUGGUGGCAGUUAUUUGGUAUAAGACAAAGAGACAAGAACGGGUUCUGGGUCCCAUGUUAUUCAACAUUUUCAUCAAUGUCUUGGAUGAAGGAAUAGAGAGUAUGUUGAUUAAAUUUGCAGGGGUUGCUAAUUCCCCCGAGGACAGGAUUAAAAUUCAAAAUGACCUUGAUAGAUUAGAGUCCUGGGCCAAAACUAACAAAAUGAAUUUCAACAGGGAGAAAUGUAAGGUCUUACAGCUAGGCAGAAAAAAUGAACUGCACAGAUACAGGAUGGAGGACACCUGGCUAGACAACAGUACCUGUCAAAGGGAUCUAGAAGUCUUGGUAGACCAGAAGCUGAACAUGAGUCAGCAGUGUGAUGCGGCUGCCAAGAAAGCCAAUGCGAUUGUAUCAAUAGGAGUGUAGUGUCUAGAUCAAGGGAAGUGACACUACCACUUUGUUCUGCUUUAGUCAGACAUAACAUGGAGUAGUGUGUCCAGUUCUGGGCACCUCAGUUCAGAAGGAUGUUGACAACCUGGAACAUGUCCAGAGGAAGGCGACUAAAAUGGUUAAAAGUAGCAAUGUCCUACAAGGAGCAGCUUAGGGAGUUGGGAAUGUUUAGCCUUACAAAAAGAAGGUUGAGAGGGGACAUGAUAGCCAUGUUUAAAUAUUUGAAAGGAUGUCAUGAUGAAGAGGGGACAGCUUUGUUUCCCGGGGCUCCAGAGACUAGGACACGGAGCAAUGGUUUCAAACUACAGAAAAAGAGAUUCCAUCUAAACAUUAGGAAGAACUUCCUGAUGGUCAGAGCUGUCCAGCAGUGGAAUAGACUGCCUUGAAGGGUGGUGGAAUCGCCUUCUUUGGAAGUUUUUAAGCAUAGGCUGGGAGUACUGUUGGGAGUACUUUGAUGGAUGUUCCCGCAUGGCUUGAACUGGAUGGCCUCAGUGGCCUCUUCCAACUCUAUGACUCUAUGGGUAAUACCUCAUUGGACCACCAAAAUAUAUUUAGAUUUUGCUCAUGAAUCACACAGCUUUCUUUCCUCUCCUACCCCACUCUGUGACUAUGUACUUAUGGAAGGACAUGUGUAGGCACUAGAUCAGAGAGUAUGAUUUUUAAUAAGAUACAAGAAUAUUAUGAGUGACACUUCUGGGCCCACUAAACAUAAAUCUACAUACCAACCCACUGUAAAAUAUCGUGAACUAAAGCUCUUCAAAGGUUUCUAGAUGUUCUAAAUUUGAUGCCACAGUCCGUUGGAUUGAUGAGACAUUAGCUUAAAAAGUUUUUUUACUGCAUGGUUGAAAGAGGGUAAAUACUAUAAAGAAGACAAGGAAGAUGACAAGAGGCUUUGAGAUGAAUGGAAUCAAAAGUCAGCCAGUGAUACCUUAAAUGAUAUUACAACAAAAGAUAUUUACAAGUGUGCUUAAGUCUCCCUCUGAAAUUCAGUAUCAUAACUUUAAAAUUCUUUGGCUGGCCCAUGGUCAUAGAGGAUCUGGUAUCAUAAUUUUUGUUUUGAAUUUAUCAAUUAUAUACAGUAGUCAUAUAAUGAACCAUAUGUUGCCUUUGCAUCAGGAUUGUUAGACUAAGGUAUUUCUGCGCCAGAUCCAUAAUAUUCAGGUCACAAAAGUUUGAUUUUAUUCAAGUGGAUUGCUUCAUGAAGAAAUUUGGCAAGUUCAUUAAAAGCAUGAGUACAGAGUACAUAAAAUAAAUACUUCUAGUGUUUCUGGUACUGAGUAAGC
rnacentral:lncRNA from 1 species